rnacentral:lncRNA from 7 species
GCCCCCCCGCUCCUCCUCCUUCCCCCGCCUUUCCGGCGUCCUCCUUUCGGUGUUGGGGUUGUUUUUUGGUUUUUUUUUUUCUUUGUUUUUAAUUUUCUCCUCUCUUUCAAAAAAAAAAAAAAAAGAAAAAAAAAAGAAAAAAAAGAGGAGAGGAAAGAAAGGGAGAAAAGAGAAAGAAAGGGGGAAAAAAAAAAGAGGGGAAAGGCGGAGCUUCUCCGUGGGGAGCGCCGCUAAGGCCGGGCCGCGGGGCCGGAGAGGGGCGGCUGCGUGAGCCGGGGCCGGGUACCGAGUACCGAGUACCGGGGCCGGGUGCCGUGUAUCGGGGCCGUGCCGGUG